rnacentral:rRNA from 1 species
GACGAACGCUGGCGGCGUGCUUAACACAUGCAAGUCGAACGGAAAGGCCCUGCUUUUGUGGGGUGCUCGAGUGGCGAACGGGUGAGUAACACGUGAGUAACCUGCCCUUGACUUUGGGAUAACUUCAGGAAACUGGGGCUAAUACCGGAUAGGAGCUCCUGCUGCAUGGUGGGGGUUGGAAAGUUUCGGCGGUUGGGGAUGGACUCGCGGCUUAUCAGCUUGUUGGUGGGGUAGUGGCUUACCAAGGCUUUGACGGGUAGCCGGCCUGAGAGGGUGACCGGCCACAAUGGGACUGAGAUACGGCGCAGACUCCUACGGGAGGCAGCAGUGGGGAAUAUUGCACAAUGGGCGGAAGCCUGAUGCAGCAACGCCGCGUGCGGGAUGACGGCCUUCGGGUUGUAAACCGCUUUCGCAUGUGACGAAGCGUGAGUGACGGUAAUGGGUAAAGAAGCACCGGCUAACUACGUG